rnacentral:lncRNA from 1 species
ACGAAUAAUCAUAAAACAAAACAUUAUUAAAGACAUGGAUAGAAAACAUCUUGAAAAUAAACUUGAAUUGUCAAAAGCCCUCUAAAGCCAAAGUAUUGCUUUCUCCCCUCUCUUUAACCUAAUGGCUAAAUAUCUUAUUUAUACUAAUACAAAAUAAAACCCUAAAAGGUCUUAGAAUAAAACUAGGAAACAUAAUAAAAUAAUAAAAC